GACGAACGCUGGCGGCGUGCUUAACACAUGCAAGUCGAACGGAAAGGCCCUGCUUUUGUGGGGUGCUCGAGUGGCGAACGGGUGAGUAACACGUGAGUAACCUGCCCUUGACUUUGGGAUAACUUCAGGAAACUGGGGCUAAUACCGGAUAGGAGCUCCUGCUGCAUGGUGGGGGUUGGAAAGUUUCGGCGGUUGGGGAUGGACUCGCGGCUUAUCAGCUUGUUGGUGGGGUAGUGGCUUACCAAGGCUUUGACGGGUAGCCGGCCUGAGAGGGUGACCGGCCACAUUGGGACUGAGGUACGGCCCAGACUCCUACGGGAGGCAGCAGUGGGGAAUAUUGCACAAUGGGCGGAAGCCUGAUGCAGCAACGCCGCGUGCGGGAUGACGGCCUUCGGGUUGUAAACCGCUUUCGCCUGUGACGAAGCGUGAGUGACGGUAAUGGGUAAAGAAGCACCGGCUAACCACGUG
rnacentral:rRNA from 1 species